UGUAUAUAUAUCUAAUGUUCUGUUCUGUAUCUCUUAUAUUCCUAUAUAUUCAUAUUCAUUCAUUCAUGCCAUUCUAUCCAAUCCUCUUUUAUGUGGUAAACAUCUUUGGUAUACAUAUCGAUGGCGAAUCCUUCCUACAUCUCUGAUUCAUGAUGGCGGCGGUGAUAUUCAAGAAAAAAGAUUCCGAUGAAGAGGGUAUGGUUUGAAAUGGAGCUUCGGUGACUGAAACGACUCACAGGCCUCACCAUCCACCGCCGCUGUUUUUGGGAUCUUGCACCGCUGCUCGUGAUUUUCGGCCACCGCCGUUGCUUGUGAUUUCCGAUGGCCGCUGCUAAUUAUUUCCAGCCACUUAUUAUUAUUCCGACGCUAUUAUUCAUAGUUGUUAGAUUUGGAAACACUGAGAUCUUUGAUGGAUUUGUUAAAGAAUUAUUGGAUAUGAAAUCUUGGUGUAUUGAAGAAAGGUGUGACACUGUAUGAAGAAAAAGAAAAAGAAAAAAAAAGUUUCAGAUGAAGGAAUUCUUGGGGAGAUGAAAAAUAAAGUUGCAGUUUGAAGAAAAAAGGCGGCAGUUCGCUUGUUGCUUCGAGAUGGUGUCAUGGUGAUUAGUCAUUUUAAGAAGGAUUUGUUGCCACUAAUUAAGGGAUUGGAACAAAACUGAAAAAACAUCCUUUUUAAGCAAUAACAUGUUCUUUCAUCUUUUAUCUACUUGAUUGUCACAUAUACUUAUGCCAUUUUUUUUUUUAUCAAAUCACGACAACUUAAGAUAUUAAUCCAAAAAUGGAUUAUUUUUCAAAAUCA